GUGAAUCAUCGAAUUUUUGAACGCAAAUUGCACUCUCUUCUAAGAGUAUGCCUGUGUGAGUGUCAGCCUAAAUAAAAUCUACGUAUUCGCUGUUUCGCGGUGACAUUCGUCGGAAUUUGGGUCAUCUUAAACCUUAGGGUUUUUUAAGCGGCGUAAAAUUUUCUUUACGAUUCCACGAACGUUUCUAAGAUUUUACUACUUACACACGUUUAAGGUAUCGUUCUUUAUUAUACGUGGCCGUUGCAUCGGAUCGCGUCCAUAAAUU
rnacentral:misc_RNA from 1 species